UAAGGAAUAUUGGUCAAUGGACGAAAGUCUGAACCAGCCAUGCCGCGUGAAGGAUUAAGGUCCUCUGGAUUGUAAACUUCUUUUAUCUGGGACGAAAAAAGGCGAUUCUUCGUCACUUGACGGUACCAGAUGAAUAAGCACCGGCUAACUCCGUGCCAGCAGCCGCGGUAAUACGGAGGGUGCAAGCGUUAUCCGGAUUCACUGGGUUUAAAGGGUGCGUAGGCGGGCAGGUAAGUCAGUGGUGAAAUCCUUGAGCUUAACUCGAGAACUGCCAUUGAUACUAUCUGUCUUGAAUAUUGUGGAGGUAAGCGGAAUAUGUCAUGUAGCGGUGAAAUGCUUAGAUAUGACAUAGAACACCUAUUGCGAAGGCAGCUUACUACGCAUAUAUUGACGCUGAGGCACGAAAGCGUGGGGAUCAAACAG
rnacentral:rRNA from 1 species